AUAAUAAAUAAAUAGCCGAAGAAGGUUAGAAAAAUAACAGGAGGCAUAAGCGCUCAGAAAAUGGUCGAAAGAUUGGUCAAGGAGGUUAAAAAAUACAGAGAUUGGAUUUUUGGCAAUAUUUUCUUGAAGGAUGAGAGCCCUGUUGAGAAGGAAAAUUUGAAUUUUUGAGGAGAAAAGCCCAAAUUUGGAUGUUUAGGGACUUAAUUGGAUUUUAUUUGAAUUUAUAGAGAAUUGGAGUGCAAGAAAAAUUUAUUUUUAGGUCAAUUUGGGUUUUAAUUGGGAGAAAUUUAAGUUCUGGGGCCAAAAUAUAUUUUUUUGGAAUUUAUUAGGCCAAAUCAGGGGCUUAAUUGCAUAAAUAUUGAAGUUUAAUGGCCAAUUAGGGGCUUAAUUGUGAAAAUCCGAAACCAGGGACCAAUUUGGAACACGCGGGUAAAUAGAGGGGGCUGUCUUGAUUUGAUCCAGGGGCGUAAUUGAAGAAAUUGGAAGUUUAUUGGUCAAUUGAGGGCUUAAUUGCAUAAAUCAGAGGCCAAGGACCAAGAUGAAAAACGCGGCCAACUAUGGGGGCGAGGACCGAAAUUGGCAGGGACGCAAUUGAAGGAAUCAAAAGAUAAUUGAGGGCUGAGUUGAAAUUUUGCGCCUUUUUUAAAAUGAAACGGCGCGUUUUCCCCAAAACGACGCCGUUUCAUAUAUUAAAAAAAAAAAAAAAAGGACCAACGGUGCCGUUUUGAACGGCACUGUUCCCCUUUCUUCUUCCUCCCCGAACGUGCAGCAGCAUGGACGAAACCGUUGUUUAAUCAACCGGUGCCCCUCUCUCCUCGCGUGCACUGACAGACCAGGCCCAUGCACCUCGGACGACGCGAAGCCAGGAGGGCCACGCCGUGAUCGACCACGCUCACCGACCAGCCGACCGGCGCUGUGCUGCUCCCCACGUUGCCCAGCAACCCACGACGUUCUGCUCCCCACGCUGCCCAUGCAGCCCCUGCUCGCCUAUAAAAGAAAGGUGGAGAUUGUAAGCACGGGG
rnacentral:lncRNA from 1 species